rnacentral:rRNA from 1 species
UAUAACCGGCGAUUUCCGAAUGGGGAAACCCAGUGUGAUUCGUCACACUAUCAUUAACUGAAUCCAUAGGUUAAUGAGGCGAACCGGGGGAACUGAAACAUCUAAGUACCCCGAGGAAAAGAAAUCAACCGAGAUUCCCCCAGUAGCGGCGAGCGAACGGGGAGCAGCCCAGAGCCUGAAUCAGUGUGUGUGUUAGUGGAAGCGUCUGGAAAGGCGCGCGAUACAGGGUGACAGCCCCGUACACAAAAAUGCACAUGCUGUGAGCUCGAUGAGUAGGGCGGGACACGUGGUAUCCUGUCUGAAUAUGGGGGGACCAUCCUCCAAGGCUAAAUACUCCUGACUGACCGAUAGUGAACCAGUACCGUGAGGGAAAGGCGAAAAGAACCCCGGCGAGGGGAGUGAAAAAGAACCUGAAACCGUGUACGUACAAGCAGUGGGAGCCUCUUUAUGGGGUGACUGCGUACCUUUUGUAUAAUGGGUCAGCGACUUAUAUUCUGUAGCAAGGUUAACCGAAUAGGGGAGCCGAAGGGAAACCGAGUCUUAACUGGGCGUUAAGUUGCAGGGUAUAGACCCGAAACCCGGUGAUCUAGCCAUGGGCAGGUUGAAGGUUGGGUAACACUAACUGGAGGACCGAACCGACUAAUGUUGAAAAAUUAGCGGAUGACUUGUGGCUGGGGGUGAAAGGCCAAUCAAACCGGGAGAUAGCUGGUUCUCCCCGAAAGCUAUUUAGGUAGCGCCUCGUGAAUUCAUCUCCGGGGGUAGAGCACUGUUUCGGCAAGGGGGUCAUCCCGACUUACCAACCCGAUGCAAACUGCGAAUACCGGAGAAUGUUAUCACGGGAGACACACGGCGGGUGCUAACGUCCGUCGUGAAGAGGGAAACAACCCAGACCGCCAGCUAAGGUCCCAAAGUCAUGGUUAAGUGGGAAACGAUGUGGGAAGGCCCAGACAGCCAGGAUGUUGGCUUAGAAGCAGCCAUCAUUUAAAGAAAGCGUAAUAGCUCACUGGUCGAGUCGGCCUGCGCGGAAGAUGUAACGGGGCUAAACCAUGCACCGAAGCUGCGGCAGCGACGCUUAUGCGUUGUUGGGUAGGGGAGCGUUCUGUAAGCCUGUGAAGGUGUGCUGUGAGGCAUGCUGGAGGUAUCAGAAGUGCGAAUGCUGACAUAAGUAACGAUAAAGCGGGUGAAAAGCCCGCUCGCCGGAAGACCAAGGGUUCCUGUCCAACGUUAAUCGGGGCAGGGUGAGUCGACCCCUAAGGCGAGGCCGAAAGGCGUAGUCGAUGGGAAACAGGUUAAUAUUCCUGUACUUGGUGUUACUGCGAAGGGGGGACGGAGAAGGCUAUGUUGGCCGGGCGACGGUUGUCCCGGUUUAAGCGUGUAGGCUGGUUUUCCAGGCAAAUCCGGAAAAUCAAGGCUGAGGCGUGAUGACGAGGCACUACGGUGCUGAAGCAACAAAUGCCCUGCUUCCAGGAAAAGCCUCUAAGCAUCAGGUAACAUCAAAUCGUACCCCAAACCGACACAGGUGGUCAGGUAGAGAAUACCAAGGCGCUUGAGAGAACUCGGGUGAAGGAACUAGGCAAAAUGGUGCCGUAACUUCGGGAGAAGGCACGCUGAUAUGUAGGUGAGGUCCCUCGCGGAUGGAGCUGAAAUCAGUCGAAGAUACCAGCUGGCUGCAACUGUUUAUUAAAAACACAGCACUGUGCAAACACGAAAGUGGACGUAUACGGUGUGACGCCUGCCCGGUGCCGGAAGGUUAAUUGAUGGGGUUAGCGGUAACGCGAAGCUCUUGAUCGAAGCCCCGGUAAACGGCGGCCGUAACUAUAACGGUCCUAAGGUAGCGAAAUUCCUUGUCGGGUAAGUUCCGACCUGCACGAAUGGCGUAAUGAUGGCCAGGCUGUCUCCACCCGAGACUCAGUGAAAUUGAACUCGCUGUGAAGAUGCAGUGUACCCGCGGCAAGACGGAAAGACCCCGUGAACCUUUACUAUAGCUUGACACUGAACAUUGAGCCUUGAUGUGUAGGAUAGGUGGGAGGCUUUGAAGUGUGGACGCCAGUCUGCAUGGAGCCGACCUUGAAAUACCACCCUUUAAUGUUUGAUGUUCUAACGUUGACCCGUAAUCCGGGUUGCGGACAGUGUCUGGUGGGUAGUUUGACUGGGGCGGUCUCCUCCUAAAGAGUAACGGAGGAGCACGAAGGUUGGCUAAUCCUGGUCGGACAUCAGGAGGUUAGUGCAAUGGCAUAAGCCAGCUUGACUGCGAGCGUGACGGCGCGAGCAGGUGCGAAAGCAGGUCAUAGUGAUCCGGUGGUUCUGAAUGGAAGGGCCAUCGCUCAACGGAUAAAAGGUACUCCGGGGAUAACAGGCUGAUACCGCCCAAGAGUUCAUAUCGACGGCGGUGUUUGGCACCUCGAUGUCGGCUCAUCACAUCCUGGGGCUGAAGUAGGUCCCAAGGGUAUGGCUGUUCGCCAUUUAAAGUGGUACGCGAGCUGGGUUUAGAACGUCGUGAGACAGUUCGGUCCCUAUCUGCCGUGGGCGCUGGAGAACUGAGGGGGGCUGCUCCUAGUACGAGAGGACCGGAGUGGACGCAUCACUGGUGUUCGGGUUGUCAUGCCAAUGGCACUGCCCGGUAGCUAAAUGCGGAAGAGAUAAGUGCUGAAAGCAUCUAAGCACGAAACUUGCCCCGAGAUGAGUUCUCCCUGACUCCUUGAGAGUCCUGAAGGAACGUUGAAGACGACGACGUUGAUAGGCCGGGUGUGUAAGCGCAGCGAUGCGUUGAGCUAACCGGUACUAAUGAAC